rnacentral:rRNA from 1 species
UACAGAGGUCUCAAGCGUUUGUUCGGAUUCAUUGGGCGUAAAGGGUGUGUAGGUGGCGCGCUAAGUCGGGUGUGAAAUUUCGAGCUUAACUCCGAAACUGCAUUCGAUACUGGCGUGCUUGAGGACUGGAGAGGAGACUGGAAUUUACGGUGUAGCAGUGAAAUGCGUAGAGAUCGUAAGGAAGACCGUGGCGAAGGCGAGGUUUCUGGACGGUAACUGGACGCUGAGGCAGCGAAGGCCAGGGGAGCAAACGGG